UACGGGGGGGCAAGCGUUGUUCGGAAUUACUGGGCGUAAAGGGCUCGUAGGUGGCCAACUAAGUCAGACGUGAAAUCCCUCGGCUUAACCGGGGAACUGCGUCUGAUACUGGAUGGCUAGAGAUUGGGAGAGGGAUGCGGAAUUCCAGGUGUAGCGGUGAAAUGCGUAGAUAUCUGGAGGAACACCGGUGGCGAAGGCGGCAUCCUGGACCAACACUGACGCUGAGGAGCGAAAGCCAGGGGAGCAAACGGG
rnacentral:rRNA from 1 species